rnacentral:rRNA from 1 species
UACAGAGGGUGCAAGCGUUGUUCGGAAUUAUUGGGCGUAAAGCGCGUGUAGGCGGCCGUGCAAGUCGGGUGUGAAAGCCCUCGGCUCAACCGAGGAAGUGCGCCCGAAACUGCAUGGCUUGAGUAUGGGAGAGGUGAGUGGAAUUUCCGGUGUAGCGGUGAAAUGCGUAGAUAUCGGAAGGAACACCUGUGGCGAAAGCGGCUCACUGGACCAUUACUGACGCUGAGGCACGAAAGCUAGGGGAGCAAACAGG